ACUACUAACGCCAGGACGGACGAAAUGUGACGCUACAUGAAAAGGGCGGGAAACUCUCCCCUUCCCCCCACCAUCGUCUUGAUGACUAAAGGGGGUUGGCUAGACUAUAGUGGGGGAAUCGGCGCCGUACGUUUCCCCACCCUUGGGCAUCAAUUAGCCCCACUCCGACUACCUCCAUUUCAACGAAUUUCCAGAUUCAGAGAAAUUUUAGCUCCAAAGUCUCCUUACCACAACAGGAAACUUAAUUAAUGAGUUGCAGUUUCUCAAGGUCUUUCACUCGUGGUUUCUCAAAUGUUUGAGAUCCAACGAGGUUGUAUUUAAUUGUAUUUAUGCUAUUGGAUUCCUUGAACCCACUGACGAAUGCACUGGCUGUUCAUUGGUUCUCAGUGGCUCAGCGGAUAAAAUUUACAACUCAAUGUUUCAAUUAUCCAAUACACAAAGUAAAAAAAUCAAUGAAUAUUCAUUACCUC